AUGUGUGGACAUGAAAAUGAAACUCUGUUUCACUCACUGAUGGAGUGUGACCAUGCGGUAUGGUUCUGGGAGGCGGCGGAGCGCUUCUUUGAUAUUCGUAUCCCAAGGCUACACCCGAUGACAUGGUCGAGGGACCUGCUCGAUCAUGAGCUGUUUAAGCAAGAAGAGGCUGCUAUUAUGAUUACGGUGAUGUGGGCGGUGUCGCACUCCAGAAAUAGAUAUACGCAUGGUGAACAAGUGUAUCAGCCGUCGCAAUCGAUGAUCAUCAUAGAAGAAAUAGUGCGAGCGCUGGAGUUCCCUGUUAGUGUGAAGAAUCAGCCUGUCUGUCCCCCCCGGUGGCUGCCACCAGAUGAGGGUUGGGUCAAGAUCAAUACGGAUGGUGCUACACACUCGGCACGGAUGCGAGGAGGAACGGGUUUUGUUGCACGUGAUCAUCAUGGCUUCUUUCUUAGAGCAGGAGGCUCAAAGUAUGAGGGGAUAAUUGAUCCAUUGACACUUGAACUUCUUGCAUGCAGAGAUGGACUGUCCAUGGCAUAUGAUAUGGGGCUCAAUCAAGUUGAAGUCCAAACAGAUUGCCAGGAGAUUAUACGGCUGUGGGAGUCACCACAGAAAUCGUCAUGUUAUCAUCUCUUGAAAGAGAUUGAAGUACUGAGCUCCUUUUUCCAGGGAUUUAAGCUACGGUUUGCCAACCGGCUUUGUAAUAAGGUGGCUCACCGGGUAGCUAGACUAUCUUUAGAACUUUCUUCUUCUCAGAUUUUGUAUGAGACAAUCCCUGGGUGGUUGGCUGAUUCUUUACAGUCAGACAUGCUAGCGCCAAGUGAAUAA
rnacentral:rRNA from 1 species